rfam:Caenorhabditis brenneri strain PB2801 C_brenneri-6.0.1_Cont465.1, whole genome shotgun sequence.
CCAACGGCCCUCUUUAGGGCCACAAACAUGAAUAAUCCUACUCAUU